rnacentral:lncRNA from 1 species
CUUCUCAUAAAUCUAAAGAGAUGAAAAAAGUUUUCAUUCGACCACUUCAAUAUUCAUAGUGCUCACCUUCAAAGAUUGGCACUUGACUUGGUGAAUAAGUGAACAAGGAGGCUGCUGAAUUUGUUGCCAUAAUUUCCCUAUUUCUGUUAAAAAAUCUGCUGCUAUUAUGGUUUUUUUGAGGCUGGUUUUAUCUCAGCUUUUGGUAGGAAUUUGGUAGGAAUGGGUUUAUGAAUUUUACCUAAGCUCUGAUACCAUAAAUUUGUUGGAUGUAGAAGGAUAGAAAUUGGAGAAAUAUGAUAUUUUACUAAUGAAAUUUCGGGAUUACAAAUGAGUUGCUACAGCACACUAUUUCUCUCUAUUUUUU